rnacentral:rRNA from 1 species
AUUGAACGCUGGCGGCAGGCCUAACACAUGCAAGUCGAACGGUAACAGGAAGAAGCUUGCUUCUUUGCUGACGAGUGGCGGACGGGUGAGUGAUGUCUGGGAAACUGCCUGAUGGAGGGGGAUAACUACUGGAAACGGUAGCUAAUACCGCAUAACGUCGCAAGACCAAAGAGGGGGACCUUCGGGCCUCUUGCCAUCGGAUGUGCCCAGAUGGGAUUAGCUAGUAGGUGGGGUAACGGCUCACCUAGGCGACGAUCCCUAGCUGGUCUGAGAGGAUGACCAGCCACACUGGAACUGAGACACGGUCCAGACUCCUACGGGAGGCAGCAGUGGGGAAUAUUGCACAAUGGGCGCAAGCCUGAUGCAGCCAUGCCGCGUGUAUGAAGAAGGCCUUCGGGUUGUAAAGUACUUUCAGCGGGGAGGAAGGGAGUAAAGUUAAUACCUUUGCUCAUUGACGUUACCCGCAGAAGAAGCACCGGCUAACUCCGU